GUACGUUUCCCCUCCCACUCUCCGUCCUCUCCCUCUCCCUCUCUCUGUAAAUGCCACAGGCCUCUCACCCUUCAGUCCAGAUUUAGACCUCAGUCUUUCCCAGACAUUCAGACCCAGCUGUCCGAAGCUGACUGGAGGGGCACAGACUCCCUCGUCUCCUCUCUCUUUUCUGGCUAGUACCUUUGUCUUUCUGUUCUCUUCUUCUCUGCCCCUCCUUGCCAUGCCUGGACUCUGUCAUCACUUCUUUAUCUGACAUGGUAACAGAGCCUGCCAGAUGUCUGAGCUGGACAGGGGGACGAGGCUUGUAGUCCAGGAUUUUCUGGUUCCACAGAGGCAGACCUGCUGCUCCUCUUCGCAAGCCAUGGAGCCUCUUGCAGAGGUCCCAUUAUUUGAGAUGGACCAGGAAGAGGAUGAGGAAGAUGUUCUCUCGAUGAAGAGCAUAGGAGACUGUACGUUUGCGACACAUGAUCUCACGCCCCAUGCAGGCACAGACCCUGACACCUUCAUAUACACAAACUUCAUGAAGAAUCACUGCUGCUACGAUGCAAUUCCCACCAGCUCCAAACUGAUCAUUUUUGACACAACAUUACAGGUGAAGAAGGCUUUCUUUGCCCUGGUGGCUAAUGGUGUGAGGGCAGCACCGCUGUGGGACAACAAGCUUAAGUGUUUUGUGGGUAUGCUGACCAUCACUGACUUCAUCAACAUUCUCCAUCGUUAUUACAAGUCUCCUCUGGUUCAGAUCUAUGAGCUGGAAGAACACAAGAUAGAGACAUGGAGAGAGAUCUAUCUGCAGUACUCUGUUAACAGACUGAUUAGCAUCACCCCUGACUGCAGUUUAUUUGAUGCCAUCUACUCCUUAUUGAAGAAUAAGAUACACCGGCUGCCAGUCAUAGACCCGGUAUCAGGAAAUGUCCUCCACAUUCUCACUCACAAACGCAUCCUCAAGUUCCUCCACAUCUUUGGGUCUAUGUUUCCUAAACCCAGGUUUCUUCAAAAGCGGAUCAAUGAAGUGGCAAUUGGUACCUUCAGACAGAUUGCGACAGUCCAGGAAUCAGCCUCUGUCUAUGAUGCGCUGACCAUUUUUGUUGAGAGGAGAGUGUCCGCUCUGCCUGUAGUCAAUGAGCAAGGCAAAGUGAUGGCGCUGUACUCCAGGUUUGAUGUCAUUAAUCUCGCCGCCCAGAAAAACUACAACAACCUGAACAUGACGAUGCGGGAGGCCAUUGCCUCCAGAGCCUGCUGUGUGGAGGGUGUCCUCAAAUGUUACCCUCAUGAAACACUGGAGACCAUCAUCGAUCGCAUUGCAAAGGCUGAGGUACAUCGUUUGGUUCUGGUGGACAGUAACGAUGUGGUGAGAGGGAUUGUCUCUCUGUCUGACCUGUUACAAGCCCUGGUUCUCAGUCCUGCAGGCGAACUGUGCUCCCUCCUCUCCUGUGAAGGCUCAUGUUCCUACCGAACAAACUCUUCUUCAUCCUCCUGAAGACAAUGAAGAUCUUUCUCCUCUUCCUGUAAAAUCAGAUUUUAACCCUGUCUGAGCGUUUUGGCUAUCCGUCUUGUACUUCCAAGAUCAGCCUCUGAAUUACUUCCUUUUACUCGAAUGAAAAUCUUCUUCUGGAACGCAAUGCUCCUUCAACAUCCUUACAUUCUCCCUGAAACUCCGAUUUUAAGCAUUGAACAGAAUGUUCCCAGCACCUGCUCACGCCUGCUCCACCCUGCUCCAGGAAAAUAAACAGAAGUCCUCUCAAAACCCUCCACCCAGCCAAAAACUAGCCACUAUUGAAUAUUAAAUCAUCCAAUCAAAGUUCAAAACCAGUUUACUAAAAUCUUUUGAUCCCACAUACCAACCAGUAUCCUUAUCAUCCAAGUUCUGACACUAGUCACCCACACCUACUCCCAAACAUGCCUCUUUCAUCAGUCAGCCACUGUCUUCAUGCUGCGGUUCCUCCUAUGAAACCACACUGCCAGCAGCACCUCUUAGCCAACACUUACCAGAUAUUUAUCAGAGAUCAUGCUUUCAAGACUGGAGAAAACAAGAUGGAGACUGAUCAUGUUUAACAUGACUUUAAAGAGGUGGUCACAAUGUUUGCAGAGCAGGGUUUUGGCUGCAGAAGACAAAUAUGGAAAGAGAAAGCAAUAAUAUGCACACUUUACCCUUCGCUAUGAGUACGAAUAAUGUGCUCAGUGAUCCCCAAUAGACAACUCUGACUGUGCUGGAAAGCUACCAGUGUGGAACUUUAUCAUUGGUGUGGCCGGAGAACAAUGUCAAACUGAUGAUGCACAUCCAAAGACUUUACCACUGACCUUGACCUGUGAAACAUCAAAUCUACAUUUAUGUUUCAAGUUGUGUUACUUGUGAUUUAAGUUGUUUGUACAACAAUAUGACAAAAAGUGAUGUGAUAUUUAAUUGUCUGUACUUAAAGCUCCAGUAUGUAGGCUUUAGUGGCAUCCAGUGAUGUAGUUGCAGAUUGCAACCAACUGAACAUCCCUCAUCUCACCCUGCCCUACAGUGUACUUUCUGGAGGUCCUAAAUGCUAACUUCUUCAAAGAAGGGAUCUCAAUGCUCCAUGACAAUUAGACUAAGUCUAUAAACAUAGAGUCUAUAAAGUGACAAUUUUGAACAAUAAAUGCCACUCCUUCUACCGUGGGGCCAUUCAGCUAUCAAUCACCCCUCGUCAAAGUCUCAUUUGAAGGAAACUAUAACAGAAAAUUUUAUUUUCCUAUUUUGGGUGUAAGAACACCAAUGAAAACAUGACUAUAAAUACUGUCAUUUCUGCCAAUAGAAUCUCCGAAAUCCUAUACAAUGAACCUUUAAUUUUCUGGUCUUAGAAUUAUUACAAAUUGGUUAUUCACGUAUUGAAAAUAUUGUAUUGUAUCAUUAUUAUUUUGUAAAUGCACUUGUGCUAUAGUCAGAAUAAAUGUGUUAACCUGAAAUAAAGUGAUAACUACAAAACUUGCUUAUAGAGAUGCUAUGUUGUAUUUUGCAGUAAGGCAUUCAGAAGAGGAUAUCAUGCAGUAGUAAUCUAGGACAGACUCUGUAUGAAUAUAAUCACGUUACAUUGUAGCUCAAUAGUUGAAUCAAGUUGAAUGAAGAUUCAAUGUACAACACAGGGUUGCAUAACAUAAUGGAAGUUUGUGAUUCUUUCAUGCUACACUAAUAGCAUGCAGUGCAUUGUAUACAAUUA